rnacentral:rRNA from 1 species
AGUGAAGCGGGAUGAGCUCAAAUUUGAAAUCUGGCUGGUUUACUAGUCCGAAUUGUAGUUUAUAGAAGCGUUUUCGGUGGCAGUCUCGGUAUAAAUCCUUUGGAAUAGGGUAUCAUAGAGGGUGAGAAUCCCGUCUUUGACUGAGAAUAUGCUACUAUGUGAUACGUUUUCAAAGAGUCGAGUUGUUUGGGAAUGCAGCUCAAAAUGGGUGGUAAAUUUCAUCUAAAGCUAAAUAUUGGCGAGAGACCGAUAGCGAACAAGUACCGUGAGGGAAAGAUGAAAAGAACUUUGAAAAGAGAGUUAAACAGUGCGUGAAAUUGUUGAAAGGGAAACGCUUGGAACCAGUCAUGCGGUUGGGAAAUCAGUGUUUUGCAAGGGGGAAUGGGGGAGGUGUGGACCGUAAGGCUGCUCUUUCCUAUAUCUUUUUUGUAAGGCAUGCACUUUUUCUUCUGCAGGUCAACAUCAGUUUCUUCUGCUGGACAAAACCCUUGAGAAGGUAGCAGCUUUGGCUGUGUUAUAGCUCUGGGGCGAUACAGUGGAGGGGACUGAGGUUUUCGCAGCAUGUGCUCUCGGGCAAGGCUGAUUGGGUGCUAUGGGAUCGUUCAGGGUACAAUACAUGUAUUUUGCCUUGUGUCUUUUCUAUACUCGCUCAACUCGGCUCUUCCAUGCUUAGGAUGUUGACUUAAUGGUUCUAAUCGACCCGUCUUGAAACACGGACCAAGGAGUCUAACAUAUAUGCAAGUGUUUGGGUGGCAAACCCAUGCGCGUAAUGAAAGUGAACGUAGGUGCGAUCCGCAAGGUGCAGCAUCGACCGAUCUUGAUAUUUUUGGAUAGAUUUGAGUAAGAGCAUAUAUGCUGGGACCCGAAAGAUGGUGAACUAUGCCUGAAUAGGGUGAAGCCAGAGGAAACUCUGGUGGAGGCUCGUAGCGAUUCUGACGUGCAAAUCGAUCGUCAAAUUUGGGUAUAGGGGCGAAAGACUA